rnacentral:rRNA from 1 species
UACGUAGGGUGCAAGCGUUAAUCGGAAUUACUGGGCGUAAAGGGCUCGUAGGCGGCCAACUAAGUCAUACGUGAAAUCCCUCAGCUUAACUGGGGAACUGCGUGUGAUACUGGAUGGCUUGGAUUUGGGAGAGGGAUGCGGAAUUCCAGGUGUAGCGGUGAAAUGCGUAGAUAUCUGGAGGAACACCGGUGGCGAAGGCGGCAUCCUGGACCAAUAUUGACGCUGAGGAGCGAAAGCCAGGGGAGCAAACGGGG